AAGACACUAGUAAAACCAUUACCUUGCCUUGUCAAGGCAAAAUUGUGGGUUAAACCCCCGCGUGUCUUA
rnacentral:tRNA from 1 species